GCAAAAAAUCUAGCCCCUAUCUUCCAACAUAUCCCCCACCAACACACCAAAUCAAUUAAAUCAUUCCCCACACUCAGUACAGGUGAUAGAAAAGUACCAUAGGAGCUUUAAAAAUAGUACCGCAAGGGAACGAUGAAAUAUUAAUGAAACAAACAUUAAGCACCCCAAAGCAGAGCACUCACCUCGUACCUUUUGCAUCAUGGUUUAGCCAGUCAAACCAAGCAAAACGCAUUAAAGUUUGCCCCCCCGAAACUUGGCGAGCUACUUCAAAACAGCCUUAAGGGCCAACCCGUCUCUGUUGCAAAAGAGUGGGAAGAUUUUCAAGUAGAGGUGAUAGACCUACCGAGCCACGUGAUAGCUGGUUACUCGAGAAAAGGAUAUAAGUCCCCCCCUAAGCCCGCACAGAAAUAACAAUCUGCUAAAAAACUCAGGAGACAUUCAAAUAAGGUACAGCCUAUUUGAAACAGGAAACAACCUCCAACACAGGGUAAUUUUUUUAUAUAUGACCAAGUGGGCCUAAAAGCAGCCAACUUCUAAAAAGCGUUAAAGCUUAAUCAUUAAAACCAACAAUUCCAAAAAUGGCACAAAACCCGUUAACACUAUCGAGUGAUUCUAUGCACCCAUAGAAGACCCAAUGCUAAAACUAGUAACAAGAAGAUACCUUCUCCUAAAUGUAAGCAUAAGCCAAAUGAACUGGCACCCAUCGCCACUGAAUCAAAAGUAGAAACACCCAAGAAAACCCUACUGAUCUCAACGUUAGCCUUACACUAGAACAUUUCAGGAAAGAUUAAAAAAAGAGGAAGGAACUCGGCAAACCACUAAUCCCGCCUGUUUACCAAAAACAUCGCCUUCUGAAAAAAUAUAGAAGGUCCAGCCUGCCCAGUGACAAAGUUAAACGGCCGCGGUACCCUAACCGUGCGAAGGUAGCGCAAUCACUUGUUCUUUAAAUGAGGACUAGUAUGAACGGCAUCACGAGGAUUACACUGUCUCCCCCCUUUAAUCAGUGAAACUGAUCCCCCCGUGAAGAAGCGGGGAUAAACAUAUAAGACGAGAAGACCCUAUGGAGCUUUAAACUAACACCAUCUGUCUAUAAAUACUUCAUAAUAAACAGACAAAGCCUGUGUGCUAGUUUUUGGUUGGGGUGACCGCGGAGCAAAAUAAAACCUCCACGAUGAAAAGACUUUCCCUCUUAAUCCAAGAGCAACAUCUCAAAGAAUUGGCAAGCCAACACAACUGAUCCAAACAAUACUUUGAUCAACGAACCAAGUUACCCUAGGGAUAACAGCGCAAUCCAUUUCAAGAGCUCCUAUCGACAAAUGGGUUUACGACCUCGAUGUUGGAUCAGGGUAUCCCAGUGGUGCAGCCGCUACUAAAGGUUCGUUUGUUCAACGAUUAAAACCCU
rnacentral:rRNA from 1 species